UACGUAGGGCGCAAGCGUUGUCCGGAAUUAUUGGGCGUAAAGAGCUCGUAGGCGGCUUGUCACGUCGAUUGUGAAAGCCCCGAGGCUUAACCUCGGGUCUGCAGUCGAUACGGGCUAGCUAGAGUGUGGUAGGGGAGAUCGGAAUUCCUGGUGUAGCGGUGAAAUGCGCAGAUAUCAGGAGGAACACCGGUGGCGAAGGCGGUUCUCUGGGCCAUACUGACGCUGAGGACGAAAGCGUGGGGAGCGAACAGG
rnacentral:rRNA from 1 species